rnacentral:lncRNA from 1 species
AAAGAAGUAUAGGCUGGACUAUUGAACUAUAAGGUGGAUAGAAAGCUGGCUAGAUUGUCGGGCUCAACAGGUAGUGAUCAACGGCUCUGUGUCUAGCUGGCACUCGGUAUCAAGCGGAGUGCCCCAAGGGUCAGUCCUGGGGCCGGUUUUGUUCAAUAUCUUCAUUAAUGAUCUGGAGGAUGGGGUGGACUGCACCCUCAGCAAGUUUGCAGAUGACACUAAACUGGAGGAAUGGUAGAUAUGCUGGAGGGUGGGGAUAGGAUACAGAGGGACCUAGACAAAUUAGAGGACGAGGCCAAAAGAAACCAGAUGAGGUUCAACAAGAACAAGUGCAGAGCCCUGCACUUAGGACGGAAGAAUCCCAUUCACUGCUACAGACUAGGGACCGAAUGGCUAGGAAGCAGUUCUGCAGAAAAGGACCUAAGGGUUACAGUGGAUGAGAAGCUGGAUAUGAGUCGACAGUGUGCCCUUGUUGCCAAGAAGGCCAAUGUCAUUUUGGGCUGUAUAAGUAGGGGCAUUGCCAGCAGAUCGAGGGAUGUGAUCAUUCCCCUCUAUUCAGCACUGGUGAGGCCACAUCUGGAGUACUGUGUCCAGUUUUGGUCCCCCCACUAUAAGAAGGAUGUGGAAAAAUUGGAAAGAGUCCUGCAGAGGGCAACAAAAAUGAUUAAGGGGCUGGAGCACAUGACUUUUGAGGAGAGGCUGAGGGAACUGGGAUUGUUUAGUCUGCAAAAAAGAAGAAUGAGGGGGGAUUUGAUAGCUGCUUUCAACUACUUGAAAGGGGGUUCCAAAGAGGAUGGAUCUAGACUGUUCUCAGUGGUACCUGAUGACAGAACAAGGAGUAAUGGUCUCAAGUUGCAGUGGGGGAGGUUUAGGUUGGAUAUUAGGAAAAACUUUUUCACUCAGAGAGUGGUGAAGCACUGGAAUGGGUUCCCUAGGGAGGUGGUGGAAUGUCCUUCCUUAGAAGUUUUUAAGGUCAGGCUUGACAAAGCCCUGGCUGGGAUGAUUUAGUUGGGGAUUGGUCCUGCUUUGAGCAGGGGGUUGGACUAGAUGACCUCCUGAGGUCUCUUCCAACCCUGAGAUUCUAUGAUUCUAUGUGCAGUCAGUCCUAGUGGUGGAAGUGAGAGUUCAGCCAAUGGGUUAGAGCUGGGUCCAUCGUGGGCAGCAUCCGGGAAA